rnacentral:lncRNA from 1 species
GAGUGGGAGCCCAAUAGAAUUUCUCCAUACGACCAUCACGGAUGAGUGGCGCAUACAGUGUCGAGAAGUCAUUACCGGUGACGAUGAUCGGAACACGUGGGUUCUCCUCCUUGUUGUACAUACCAGGGAGUUGCACGUUGGUCGGGUUAUCGGCAAUGUUCAUUAGUGUGGCAUUAACCAUCUGGUUGUUGACGGUGUAUUGGGUGGUGCCUCCCAUUCGACCAGCGCCAGCAUCGAGAUCGUUAAUGAAGAGGCAGCACAUUUUCCCCUUCUUGAUAAUAUCAGCUGCUUCACGGUACCUUUGCCUAAUGAGCUUAGCAGGCUCUCCUGCAUUUCCACUUUCCAAUUCUCCAGCACUCAUCAUAAUUGGGCUGUAUCAUAGCCAUUAAUUUUAAGAUUAAAACCUGAUUAAUGUAAAUUU